rnacentral:lncRNA from 1 species
UCACCAAUAUGCGUGGGCAUCACCCAGUCUGUUGAAGGCUGAGAUGGAAUAAACAGAUGGGGGAAGGGUGAGCUUGCUCUCUUUGCUUGAGCUGCGACAUCUGUCUUCUGCUGCCCUUGGGCAUGAGAGCUUCUGGCUCUUGAGCCUUUUUACUCAGACUGGGACGUACACCCUUGGCUGUCCUGGUUCUCAGGCCUUUGAGCUUGGAUUGGAACUACACCACCUGAGUUUGUGGUCCUCGCCCUUGCAGAUGGAAGGCUGUGGGACUUCUCACCUUCCAUUAUCAUCAUGAUCACCAAUGCCACAGACCCCCUGGGGAUGGACUCAUUUCAACAGCGGCAGAAGCUCCCUUCUAGAAGCACUCCCAUUUGCACAG